AAAGGCAGUGAGUUCUCUCAGCCAAUUUCUCAGCCAAUUACAGGUCGACCUUCUCGUCUACCCCGCUCACUGCUGCGCUU
rnacentral:sRNA from 1 species